rnacentral:rRNA from 1 species
AUGGCUGACUUGGACUUGUGUACGCCCCUGUUGUCAGCGGUGGAUUUGGCCGAGGAGUCGAACGUGUCCGUGGCUUACCCGCUGUUGGUGCUUGCGCCGCCGCCAGGUCCAGAUCGUUCGCCGUACAAGCUCUUCAGUUUGCCUGACCAGAAGCUUCAAGAUGUCACACCGUUGGUGUCGAGCAAGAAGAAGGUAUGGUUGGCGACACCGCAGGGCUGGGUCCUGGUCCUGAGCUCCUCCGAUUCCUCGUCGGACGAUGCAGGGACGUAUCUCCUGAACACCAUGGACGGAUCAAGAAUCGAGCUUCCGGCUCUCAAGGACGACGAGGCCUCGGGGGCGUGCAGGUGCGUCUUGUCGAACACCGUGGCCGCGCCUGGCUGUGGCGUCCUCGUCUUCGACCUCGCCAGCCCGGUGAUGUGGUUCUGCCGCGUCGGCUAGGAUCUCUGGUGGUCGCGCCAUGGCUACGACAUCGGCUGCUUCGACCUGCCGGAGGACUACUGUACUGUCCCCACGAAGAGGAACUUCUUCGACGUUGCCGCCGUCAAUGGGAGGUUCUUCUUCUGCGAGUCCAAGGACUCUCUGGGCACGCUGGACUUCCACACCGGCGGUGCCUCGGGGGAGCCAGAGGCGCGGCUGGGCGACAUCGCCGUGCCUGCAUUGACAUCCCGGUGGGCAUUACGGCCACGUACGUCGUCGAGUCCUGCAACGACCUCUUCCUCGUCCACAUCGCCUUCCACGGAGUCUCCGUCGACCGACUAG